rnacentral:rRNA from 1 species
UACGUAGGGUACAAGCGUUAAUCGGAAUUACUGGGCGUAAAGCGUGCGCAGGCGGUUUUGUAAGCCAGAUGUGAAAUCCCCGGGCUUAACCUGGGAAUGGCAUUUGGGACUGCAAGGCUGGAGUUUGGCAGAGGAGACUGGAAUUCCUGGUGUAGCAGUGAAAUGCGUAGAUAUCAGGAGGAAUACCGAUGGCGAAGGCAGGUCUCUGGGCUAUAACUGACGCUCAUGCACGAAAGCGUGGGGAGCAAACAGG